GGCCCCGCCUGCCCGGUGACCUAAUGUUUAACGGCCGCGGUAUCCUGACCGUGCGAAGGUAGCGCAAUAACUUGUCUUUUAAAUGGGGACUAGUAUGAAUGGCACCACGAGGGCUUAUCUGUCUCCUCUUUCAAGUCAAUGAAAUUGAUCUUCCCGUGCAAAAGCGGGAAUAAGCACAUAAGACGAGAAGACCCUGUGGAGCUUUAGACACCAAGACAGCUCGCGUUAAGAAUACCCCAAUAAAGGUUUGAACUAAAAAAGACCUGCCCUAAUGUCUUUGGUUGGGGCGACCGCGGAGUAAAAGAAAACCUCCCUCUGCAUGGAAUGAGGGUAAAAUUCAUUCCCUUUAAACCAAGAGCGACAGCUCGAACUAACAGAAUUUUCUGACCUUAAAGAUCCGGCUCACUGCCGAUCAACGAAUCAAGUUACCCCAGGGAUAACAGCGCAAUCCCCUUUUAGAGCCCAUAUCGACAAGGGGGUUUACGACCUCGAUGUUGGAUCAGGACAUCCUAAUGGUGCAGCCGCUAUUAAGGGUUCGUUUGUUCAACGAUUAAAGUCCUACGUGAUC
rnacentral:rRNA from 1 species